GGUCCCGUGUGGCUCAGUUGGUAGAGCAUGGUGUUUGCAACGCCACAGACGUGGGUUCAAUUCCCACAGGGGACCA